GGCAGCCGGAGCAACAAGCGGCGGCGCGUGAGUCUGUUGCUCGCGCACUGGGGCGCACGCCCGCUCCAGGGAGGGCUCCGGGGGUGGCGGGCGCAGGCUUGGGUUCGGGCCAGAAGCCGGUGGCCGUAGAGGAGGAAGGGGCGUGCCUGACUCUCCAUCCAAAGGGUUACCUGAAGAAUGAAAGAAAAGACCGCGUUUCUUGCGUCCUUACCUUAUUGGAACCCUUAUCAGUGAUUGAGGGAGUGAGUGGUUUAAGGACCAGCCCUCUCUGACACCACCUCUGUUUGGGAGCUAGGACAAUCCUGAAUGCCUCUCACUCAGUGACAUCUGUGCAGGGGAGUGGAGAAGAAGGGAAGAUCUGCCUGGUAUAAGCACCAUCCUUUCCUUGUUUCAAUAAAGGGCACUCCCCUAGUAAUGAUCUUUGAUAAGCAGAAAGAAGUUGCUCACAGAUUCCCCCCUACCAGGUAUUCUUGAUGUUUUCCUUCCCAUAAUAUACAUCCAAUCAGUUGUAUCCAUAAUAUACACCCAAUCUGUCAUAUCCUAUUGACCUGUUGAUGCUAUGCACAUCCAUGUCUCAGGGUCUGGCCGGUCCCUGGGGAACUGCCAUCAUUUGUUGCAGUUCCUAGGAACCAUGCCUCCUA